rnacentral:misc_RNA from 1 species
GAUGAAGAACGUAGCGAAAUGCGAUAAGUAAUGUGAAUUGCAGAAUUCAGUGAAUCAUCGAAUCUUUGAACGCACAUUGCGCCCAUUAGUAUUCUAGUGGGCAUGCCUGUUCGAGCGUCAUUAAGUCCACUUAAGCCCUGCUUAGUGUUGGGAGACUGCUCCAGCGGUGCUACCCUGUAGCUACCCUGCAGCUCCUCAAAGACAGCGGCGGAGUUGUGGUAUCCUCUGAGCUUAGUAACUUGUUCUAGCUUUCGAGUACACCACUUCCCCUUCCGUAAAACCCUUAAUUUUUAAUGGUUGACCUCGGAUCAGGUAGGAAUACCCGCUGAACUUAAGCAUAUCAAUAAGCGGAGGA